rnacentral:rRNA from 1 species
UACAGAGGGUGCGAGCGUUAAUCGGAAUUACUGGGCGUAAAGGGCGCGUAGGUGGUUAAUUAAGUCAGAUGUGAAAUCCCUGGGCUUAACCUAGGAAUUGCAUAUGAAACUGGUUGGCUAGAGUUUGGGAGAGGGAAGUGGAAUUUCCGGUGUAGCGGUGAAAUGCGUAGAUAUCGGAAGGAACACCAGUGGCGAAGGCGACUUCCUGGCCCAAUACUGACACUGAGGCGCGAAAGCGUGGGGAGCGAACAGG